GUAUGAAAUUAUUAUAUAAAUUUAAUCUGUUAAGAUGAUUCCAGUUACUCCCCAUGAGAAAACAGAUGUCCAAAACUAUGUAUGCUACCUUCUCUGGCUACAGGAAAUUCCUUUGUAAUCUUUAUUUCUAACACUCACCAAAUGAGUAUGUGUACCUUAAAAUAUCUUUUUAUUUUAGUGGAGGGGUAAGGAAUAUGAAUGAGAGUAAUUUUGCCUAAUGUUAAAAAUUAAUCAUUGCAUCCUAUGGAAGUCCCCAUUAUAUGCAUGUCCACAAUGAUGCUAUGUGGGACAGAGUUCUCAUUUGGGCGCUAGACCAAUGUCACACCCCUGCCAUCGUCAAGGAUGCCCUGGAAGACUGGAAAUCACAAUAAAAAAUCCUCUGAUUGUGACAGAAAACUUGUGAGGCAGGAUGCUGUGCCCACAGGUCAGUGCUGCCUGGCCAGGACCCAGACCAGGAAAAUGAGCCCCUCUGGAAGGCAUCUCCCCUCCCCUCAUCAACUUCUGAAAACCACACUGCGGGGGCACAUCUCAUGUGCAGAACCUUCAUCACAUCUGGGACCCCGAAUGCCAAAGACGUGAGAGUUAGCCUCUACAGAAACGACCAUGAACAUCCUGCUGGAGGUCAGGGGAUAAAAGGAAUAUAGAGAAAACUGAUUCAUAAAAUCUGAGGGAGGCAUGCACACAUUUACAUAUGUUAAAUAUUUUUUUCUCAACUGUCCCUUCAUUAAAAUUCUUUUAAUAC